rnacentral:misc_RNA from 1 species
ACACCAUGAUUUGUGCAAGAGCUGUUUGGAUAGAGAAUUAUGAGGAAAUAGAAGAUGUUGUGGCUAGAAAAUGGAUAGAUACAAAAAAAAAUUGUUAUUCUGGUCUGCAGGUGUAUCUUAUCGAAGAGCUGUUAAAGAAGAAAUAGAUGUGGAUGAAACACAGAACAAAUAUAAACUUAUUAAAAUUUUCACACACAAGCAUACAUUAUAUACUGGCAAUAUAAAUGAUGUAAAAAACUGCUAAAAUAUCUGAUGUUUAUAUUGGAUUUAUAAUUGUGUUAAUUUUUUUAGAUAAUAUGGAGGAGCUGAAAGAAAAUUGUUACACCACUGCAGCAGAGGAGGAAGAUGUAACAGAUAUUUGUGUUUCCAAAAGUGCCUUUAAAUUGAAAAGUUUACAAAGUAAUAUUGUAAUCAAGCAGUUAGAUACAAUUGCAGAGGAUUUUAACAAAAGUUUAGUGGAUGAUUGUGUUAGACUUGAUUUGUUUUUUAGGUGCCGAAGAUUUUAAAUAACUGACAAGAUUGGUUAUGAAUAGAUUAUUUACAAAUACCCUGUUGACACAGUUCAACUUAAAAGGUUCUGGCGGAAAUAUUGGUUUACAUUCAACCAAACUAUAUGAUGUUAUAGAAGUU